rnacentral:tRNA from 4 species
CGCGGGAUGGCGCAGUCGGUAGCGCGCAAGAGUCAUAAUCUUGAGGUCGAGGAUUCGAGUUCCUCUCCCGCAACCA